rnacentral:snoRNA from 1 species
AAUGAGGGAGAUGAUGUCUUUUUGUGCGAGUAUGAAUAUGAUGUCCAUUGGCACAGUUUUAAGCGUCUUGCAGAGAAG